UCGGGUUGUAAAGCACUUUUGUCCGGAAAGAAAUCCUCUGGGUUAAUACCUCGGGGGGAUGACGGUAUCGGAAGAAUAAGCACCGGCUAACUACGUGCCAGCAGCCGCGGUAAUACGUAGGGUGCGAGCGUUAAUCGGAAUUACUGGGCGUAAAGCGUGCGCAGGCGGUUCGCUAAGACCGAUGUGAAAUCCCCGGGCUUAACCUGGGAAACUGCAUUGGUGACUGGCGAGCUAGAGUGUGGCAGAGGGGGGGUAGAAUUCCACGUGUAGCAGUGAAAUGCGUAGAGAUGUGGAGGAAUACCGAUGGCGAAGGCAGCCCCUGGGCUAACACUGACGCUCAUGCACGAAAGCGUGGGGAGCAAACAGGAUUAGAUACCCUGGUAGUCCACGCCCUAAACGAUGUCAACUAGUUGUUGGGGAUUCAUUUCCUUAGUAACGUAGCUAACGCGUGAAGUUGACCGCCUGGGGAGUACGGUCGCAAGAUUAAAACUCAAAGGAAUUGACGGGGACCCGCACAAGCGGUGGAUGAUGUGGAUUAAUUCGAUGCAACGCGAAAAACCUUACCUACCCUUGACAUGGACGGAAUCUUGCUG
rnacentral:rRNA from 1 species